GGAGACAUACCCAAGUCGGCCGAAGGGGGCAGUUUGCUAAACUGUUAGGUCCCGCAAGGGGCGCGAGGGUUCGAAUCCCUCUGUCUCCGCCA
rnacentral:tRNA from 1 species